CUCUAUUUUUAGUGCAGGGUAGCUGGAAAAAAUAAAAACCUUGGAUUAGGGAGUUCAGAGAUCUGGGCUGAGCAUUCACCUCAACAUUCACCUCUACGCCUGGGUUUCCUCAUGAGGCAAAAUGGUUAGAGGUUGAAACUAGAUUGUUAGUAUCCUAGUGCUCAAAGACCACCUAAUCUAGGCCCCUCAUUUUGAGACAAGGAAACUGAAAUAACCUCUAAAAUAACUUCUAGUCCUAAAAUUAUGAUUUCUGUUUCUGCAGUCUGAAGCUGGGAUUUUGUGUUUGCUGGGAGCUGAGAGUGAGGAGCACCAGCUAAACAGUUAGGGACACCUCCAAUGGAGGGAGGCUGCCCUGUGAGGGAGGGCAGCUUCAGAUCCAAAGGACUGGAGAACAGGAAUGAGGCUGGGCAGCUGCCCACACGUUUCCAGGGUAAACCACAGGGUACUGGCCAGAAUCAGGCCCAGCCCAGGACAAUGCACGGAGUCUUGUACGACUGAAGCAUAGUGAGUUCAUUAAAACUGGAGGCUUGGCAGUGCAGAGGAAAAUGAAGGCAGGUUGGCUUUCCUCCUCCUAGUAAUACCCCUAGAGAAGGUGAUCUCAGUAUCGUGCUCCGCACCUCUUCGGGAGAUUGGGGGUAAACUGCCUGUGGUCAUUCAGCGAGAACACAACUCCAUUCAUAUGUCCUGCGUCCUUAACAGGUGAGCCUUGAAGCUAAUUGCAGUAAACUGCUGGGCCUCACAGCCUAGUAAUUUAAGCUUUCUCUAAGUUCUGUUUGGGAACCUCUUUAAAGCUCAGUUUUUCUUCAAAGCAGCCUGGAAGGACUGAAUUUUAGAGGAUGUAGAAAAAAAAAGGACAAAUUCAAAAGAAUCAGUUGCAUUCUCCCCUUGCUGGGCCUAGAUAUCUGCCUUGGAUUGCUGGUGAUUCUAGCCCAGUUGCCUGGUGGAGGCCUUCUGGUAAAAGGUCCCUUUUACCUUGUAAGGGAGUCCUUCCUAUCUGUAUAAAUAUUUGGCUUUGUGGAAUUGAUAAGACAGCUGAACCCUUGGGAUCUCAACAGUAGAGGAAGAAAGCCAAGGCAGAUCCCUGGAAUUUUAAGAUUGUUGAAUAGUUAUAAUGAAGAAACUGCUUGAGGGUUGUUGGAUUUGCUUUGUUUUUGAAAUUUGGAAUUUGAGAGGCCGACCAUGAUGGGGCCACAAGGAUUUUGUCAUGGUUCUUCAGAGCCAACCGCUGGAGGAGAUAUUUGAAAGAACAAUGCGAAAUCCUUGCCAGGUCUCCAGAGUUCUGUUUUUUGAUUGGGCAUUUAGACAAACUCACCAAUUGCACCACAUUUAAUUAGCUGAGGACAAGCAGGGGAGCUGAGUCAGCUUAAAAAGAUUCCCCUCUUACCCCUGAACAGAGAACUGGGAACACUAAUAGGCACUUCCUCCAGGGAGGGGCCCUGAAGAACUCGGAGCAGAGGUCUCAGGAAUAUUUCCCCAGCCUGAGCAGAAAUAGCUACUU
rnacentral:lncRNA from 1 species